rnacentral:lncRNA from 1 species
CCUGACCAUUGCCGCGGCCUUUGGCGUGUCGGCCGCGCUGGAGGGCACGGGUGUGGCUGCGUCCUUCGCCAACGGUAUCAUCUCCAUCGGCAAGAACCUGCACAGCGACGGCGCGGCUCUCAUUGCCAGUGAGUGGGAAGGCCAGUACAGGCUGUCACGUAACAAGGAGGCCCACUUCGUACACGACGGCAGGGGUAUGUUCAGCUGGUUGCAACUGCCGCAAGCGUCGUCUUUGGUUCGCACCUGCCUCGGACUUCAUGUACACUUCUAACAAGCUCUCACCCCGCUCAUGCCUCGUCCCCUCGCCUUCGCCUUCCCCAACGCGCAGUUUACAUUGCCAGUGAGUCGGGUACAGGAUACGCUGUAGCAUGUGUCGCAUGGUGCCCUUUGAAAGCCCCACAGGUUUAUGCCAUAGGCUCAUAGUCAGUUCAGCAGCAGCAGUGUAGCCUGUCACAACCGGGUUGCAACUUCCUGAUUAUAAUUUCUCCCUUCCACCUGGCCCCUGAACAGCUGCGAUGUUGUCCGAGCUGCUGACCAACAAUGCCGCCGGCGCCAUCAUGUACCCCAUCGCCGCCAUUGCGGGUGAGAAACGUGGGCAGGCGUGGGUAGGCUUGUGGAGAAGGAAGCAACAGGAGCGCAAUGCCCGUGUGAGCGCGUUACACCAUCUGCCGCAAUUCAAUGGGUUCGCGCGCUAAACCACCAUCCAAUUCCCUGAACAGGUGACGCGCUCAAGAUCUCACCCAAGGAGACCUCUGUGGCCAUCAUGCUGGGCGCCUCGGCCGGCUUCAUCAACCCCUUCUCCUACCAGUGCAACCUGAUGGUGUACGCUGCUGGCAACUAUAGCGUGCGCGAGUUCGCCAUCAUUGGCGCCCCGUUCCAAAUAUGGCUCAUGAUUGUCGCGGGCUUCAUCCUGUGCUACAUGAAGGAAUGGCACCAGGUGCGGAUUGGUACAUAAGACUCCAUUAAGAUGCCUCCGCAAAUGCAUGCAGAUGGUGGGCAUUGUGAUUGGUAACCCGCUCAGGGCCAACGGCGAUGCAGAAGCCGGCGUGCUCACCUUCCAUCUGAUGAUCUCCCGACCCCCCGUGUCCUGUAGGUCUGGAUCGUGUCCUGGAUCUGCACCGCCGGCAUCGUCCUCCUGCCGGCCCUGUAUUUCCUGCUGCCGACCAAGGUUCAGCUCCGCAUCGAUGCAUUCUUCGAUCGGG